CCCCAUCAACUUGCAUAAAACUUUCAUAAAACAUAAAAGAAGCAUAGAUCGAAGCUUACCUCUUGAAGAUCGAGAGGAAGAACGACCCUAGCUCGGAAAAUGGAGGGAUUUAGCUCCAAGACUUCCAAGCUCCAAACUUGCUUAAAAACACUCAAAAACUUUUGUGGAACCUUAAAACUUCAAAGAAAAUGGUGAGGAUCGAAGGAAAAACACAAGAUUUGGGAGAGGGAGGUCGGAAGCUCGCUGUGGCCGAAAAUGGGAGAAAACUCUCCCAUUUCGGCUAAGUGCCCCUUUUAUAGGUGGCUGGCCAGGCCACGUUCGGGGGCCGAAGGUGCCUCCGCAUGCAUGCAAGGUUCGGCGGCCGAACUUGGAGUUCGGCGGCCGAACCUGCAUUUCCCUCACACAAAAUUUUCGGGCGCCUAAAGUCCCUCCGAAAGCAUGCAUGUUCGGCGGCC
rnacentral:lncRNA from 1 species